UACGAAGGGGGCUAGCGUUGCUCGGAAUCACUGGGCGUAAAGGGUGCGUAGGCGGGAUCUUAAGUCAGAGGUGAAAGCCUGGAGCUCAACUCCAGAACUGCCUUUGAUACUGGGAUUCUUGAGUUCGGGAGAGGUGAGCGGAACUGCGAGUGUAGAGGUGAAAUUCGUAGAUAUUCGCAAGAACACCAGUGGCGAAGGCGGACUCACUGGCCCGAGUACUGACGCUGAGGCAC
rnacentral:rRNA from 1 species